UACGUAGGGGGCGAGCGUUGUCCGGAAUUAUUGGGCGUAAAGAGCGUGUAGGCGGCCCGGUAAGUCCGCCGUGAAAGUCCAGGGCUCAACCCUGGGAUGCCGGUGGAAACUGUCGGGCUCGAGUCCGGAAGAGGCGAGUGGAAUUCCUGGUGUAGCGGUGAAAUGCGCAGAUAUCAGGAGGAACACCGGUGGCGAAGGCGGGUCUCUGGGCCGUAACUGACGCUGAGGAGCGAAAGCAUGGGGAGCGAACAGG
rnacentral:rRNA from 1 species